CCUACGGGAGGCAGCAGUGGGGAAUUUUGCGCAAUGGGCGAAAGCCUGACGCAGCAACGCCGCGUGAGUGAUGAAGGCCUUCGGGUCGUAAAGCUCUGUCAGAGGGGAAGAAACUCCUGUCGGUUAAUACCCGGCGGGCUUGACGGUACCCUCAAAGGAAGCACCGGCUAACUCAGUGCCAGCAGCCGCGGUAAU
rnacentral:rRNA from 1 species